GAUGAACGCUGGCGGCGUGCCUAAUACAUGCAAGUCGAGCGAACGGACGAGACGCUUGCUUCUCUGAUGUUAGCGGCGGACGGGUGAGUAACACGUGGAUAACCUACCUAUAAGACUGGGAUAACUUCGGGAAACCGGAGCUAAUACCGGAUGAUAUUUUGAACCGCAUGGUUCAAAAGUGAAAGACGGUCUUGCUGUCACUUAUAGAUGGAUCCGCGCUGCAUUAGCUAGUUGGUAAGGUAACGGCUUACCAAGGCAACGAUGCAUAGCCGACCUGAGAGGGUGAUCGGCCACACGGGAGCUGAGACACGGUCCAGACUCCUACGGGAGGCAGCAGUAGGGAAUCUUCCGCAAUGGGCGAAAGCCUGACGGAGCAACGCCGCGUGAGUGAUGAAGGUCUUCGGAUCGUAAAACUCUGUUAUUAGGGAAGAACAUAUGUGUAAGUAACUGUGCACAUCUUGACGGUACCUAAUCAGAAAGCCACGGCUAACUACGUG
rnacentral:rRNA from 1 species